AAGGGGGUGACAGAUAGGUAUGUGGUUGACUUGAAAUCAAAAUAGGGGGGUUCGACU
rnacentral:tRNA from 1 species